GUAACGGCGAGUGAAGCGGCAACAGCUCAAAUUUGAAAUCUGGCCGCAAGGUCCGAGUUGUAAUUUGCAGAGGAUGCUUUUGGCGAGGUGCCUUCCGAGUUCCCUGGAACGGGACGCCAUAGAGGGUGAGAGCCCCGUACGGUAGGACCACCGAGCCUUUGUAAAGCUCCUUCGACGAGUCGAGUAGUUUGGGAAUGCUGCUCUAAAUGGGAGGUGUACGUCUUCUAAAGCUAAAUACCGGCCAGAGACCGAUAGCGCACAAGUAGAGUGAUCGAAAGAUGAAAAGCACUUUGAAAAGAGGGUUAAAAAGUACGUGAAAUUGUUGAAAGGGAAGCAUUCAUGACCAGACUUGGGCUUGGUUGAACAUCCGGCGUUCUCGCCGGUGCACUCUGCCAGUCCAGGCCAGCAUCAGUUUGCCCCGGGGGACAAAGGCGGUGGGAAUGUGGCUCUCUCCGGGGAGUGUUAUAGCCCGCCGUGUAAUGCCCUGGGGCGGACUGAGGAACGCGCUUCGGCUCGGAUGCUGGCGUAAUGGUCAUCAAUGACCCGUCUUGAAACACGGACCAAGGAGUCGUCUUCGUAUGCGAGUGUUCGGGUGUCAAACCCCUACGCGAAAUGAAAGUGAACGUAGGUG
rnacentral:rRNA from 1 species